rnacentral:rRNA from 1 species
AAACUUUCAACAACGGAUCUCUUGGCUCUCGCAUCGAUGAAGAACGCAGCGAAAUGCGAUAAGUAAUGUGAAUUGCAGAAUUCAGUGAAUCAUCGAAUCUUUGAACGCACCUUGCGCCUUUCGGUAUUCCGGAAGGCAUGCCUGUUUGAGUGUCAUGAAA